rnacentral:lncRNA from 1 species
UUUGUGUCCAAUCGGCUCCAAGUCCCUUUCUUUUGCUCCAAGACUCAAUCCAUCCAAUAUUCUUUCCUGAAAUAUAAUAAAAUGCAAUUUAAAGUAAACUAUCCUAAAAAGGGAAUAAUACUAAUAUAAAAUCAUAUAAAAUCUAAAUAAAACUAAACUAAAAAGCAUAUUAAAAUAGUCAAUAAAUGACUCAUCAAACUCCCCCACACUUGAAUCUUUGCUUGUCCUCAAGCAAAAGACAUAUACAUAGUAGCACAAACAGUUAUAUCAAAUGACAAUUCAAUUAAAGCACAUGUCUCCUCAAGGGCUUAAAUCCCAAAUGUACACUAAUCACAAACUCAAGCAUUUCUUGUAAUUUUUAUUCAACCCAACGAUCAAGUUUCAAGUGAGUGUGUGUGUGAAGUCCAACCCUUUUCUUGCUCCUGUAUAAGAUAGGCAUUAUGAGGAAACAUGGUCUAAUCCUAGCACUAAACCAACCAAGAAAGAUUCCUUCUAUAAUUCAUAUAAGAGAGGGAGUAUUUGAGAAUCUUUGUUCUUUGCCAUUUGCACAUUUAAGUUCUUUAUUUAAGGAACAACAUCUUCACGUAGGAAGUCGGAGGGCCUACCCCCUUCCCCAAUCUAGAUUCAAUGGUAUCCCUUAAAACAUCAUCUUCACGUAGGAAGUCGGAGGGCCUACCCCCUUCCCCAAUCUAGAUUCAAUGAUGCUUUUUAAAGUUUUUCCUUAAGAUAACAAUCAUCUUCACGUAGGAAGUCGGAGGGCCUACCUCCUUCCCCAAUCUAGAUUCAAUGAUGAGAUCUUGGAAUUUAUUUGGCUUUUU